GUCUACGGCCAUACCACCCUGAACACGCCCGAUCUCAUCUGAUCUCAGAAGCUAAGCAGGGUCGGGCCUGGUUAGUACCUGGAUAGGAGAAAUGAGGAGUUGAAGACA
ensembl:rRNA 5S_rRNA 5S ribosomal RNA